UACGAAGGGGGCUAGCGUUGUUCGGAAUUACUGGGCGUAAAGCGCGCGCAGGCGGCUAUCCAAGUCAGUGGUGAAAGCCCGGAGCUCAACUCCGGAACUGCCAUUGAAACUGUUUAGCUUGAGGACGAGAGAGGUGAGUGGAAUUCCCAGUGUAGAGGUGAAAUUCGUAGAUAUUGGGAAGAACACCGGUGGCGAAGGCGGCUCACUGGACUGGUAUUGACGCUGAGGUGCGAAAGCGUGGGGAGCAAACAGG
rnacentral:rRNA from 1 species